CCUUUGAUUUGGGUGCUGGGGCCUGCUGGCCAUGCCACUCCUUUUCGUUCACGGAUGGAACCACGAGUGAACAGGGCUGUGGGUGGACAUGAAGAUAUUU